GCCAAAAAGCUUCAAGAAGAGUAUUCUCCAAAAGGUCAAGUACUCUUUUUUAUCUUUGGAUGGGAAAUAGGAGAUCAAGGAGACACUACAAAGUUGCCAAAGCAUGGAGAAGGGUAAGAUGGUCCUUGCUACAAAAGGAGAGGUGUUCUUAUCAAAAUAUGGGGCUGCAUUAGAAACUUCUCUUUCACAUUCAGAUUGUAGCAUUUACACGUGAUAGAAUAAGCUUUCUAGAAGAGCAUCACAUUUUGCACAUGGUUGUACACGUGGAGGUAGAUCCACAUUUCUUGGAGUCACAUUUUUUUGCUUGCAUUGCCGAGAGGUUAGUCUAUAAAACCUCUAAGGCAGCCAUUGUAAUACACUUUGGAUUAUAUGAGAAAUUUCUUCAAUCUGAAAUUCAUCUCUACCAAGCAAAUGCUUACCAAAGUCACCUUUUCCAUCAACACUCUCCCACCUCUUAGCUUUCUUCCAACAAUGGAAGCUGCCUGAAGCUAGGACCACUUCAUUCCUUCUCUGCCGCAACCAACAUCCACUCAAAUUCCAUCCAUAUCCGCUGCCACCUGUUGUAAUUCCCUUUCUUCUCGGGUUCUGUCUUCAACCGAGCAAUGGAGAGCUAUAUCACUUCCUCGUUCGUGCGAAUUAAAAUAAUA
rnacentral:lncRNA from 1 species